CUACGGGCUGCACCAGUGGGGGAUAUUGCACAAUGGGCGAAAGCCUGAUGCAGCAACGCCGCGUGAAGGAAGACGGUUUUCGGAUUGUAAACUUCUAUCAGCAGGGAAGAAAAUGACUGUACCUGACUAAGAAGCCCCGGCUAACUACGUGCCAGCAGCCGCGGUAAUACGUAGGGGGCAAGCGUUAUCCGGAAUUACUGGGUGUAAAGGGUACGUAGGCGGCUGAUCAAGUCAGAUGUGAAAGCCCGGAGCUCAACUCCGGGACUGCAUUUGAAACUGGUCGGCUAGAGUGCAGGAGAGGAAAGUGGAAUUCCUAGUGUAGCGGUGAAAUGCGUAGAUAUUAGGAAGAACACCAGUGGCGAAGGCGGCUUUCUGGACUGUAACUGACGCUGAGGUACGAAAGCGUGGGGAGCGAACAGGAUUAGAUACCCGAGUAGUC
rnacentral:rRNA from 1 species